CUCAAAUUUUCUUAAUUUUUUUCCUUUUUUAAUUUAUUUCUUACAUGAUAAUCAUGAAUGUAAAUUUCUUAAUUUUAAAUUUUUUAUUUGGAUUUUCUUAGAGAUGCCAAUUAUGAGUAUGUUAUCUUGCCUUUAUUCACUUUUCCCAAGCCGGCUGCCUUUGUCUCUUACUGUGUUUUAGCAGUGUCUGUUUUCUGCUUCCAAUGUGGCCUACAUUUCUUUGCUUUUUCUUUUCUUCUAGGGCCAGCUCCUGUUAUAUCUCCUGAUGUCCCUGCUAAUCUUAUUUGAGAUUACUUGAGAGUUAGUCACUACUUGAAGUUCUUGUUUACAAAAGAGAUUUAUUAAGGUCUUUAUAUUCAUGUCAUAUGUUUGGUAAAACUUUUAAAUCUCCAUGGAAAUUUUCUGGGAGGAGGAAUAUUCUGGAUUUGUGAGUUGCCUUUCUUCUGCUCUUUUUCCCUUAGACCAAUUCUCCGUUGGUCCUCAGGACCAGAGCCUGGUCCCGUCUAGUGGAUUUAUGUUUGAUUUGGUGAAGUUCCAUAUCGUACUGUGUGUGUGUGUGUGUGUGUGUGUGUGUAAAAGACACUUUAGCCUUCUAUCUCCCUAGCCAGCAGAGACUGAUGCUGCAGGUCAGUGAUCAAUGCAAAUGUCCUAUCACCACCCCGGUCUACUCACUAACAGAUAGUCUCUUGAUUUCUGAGUCUUGCCUUUUUCUGUGCCAAACAUCAGCAUGCCGACUUCAUUCUGCUUGUUACAAAAAAAGGGGAAUCAUCAGUCUUCCCUCUCAUAGUUUGCCACCUCUUGAAAAAAAAUGGUUGUUGCCAGCUUUGUCUGAGAUCCAUGGCCAAAGGCAUCCUCUUGGCACCCUCCCACACCAUUCUUUGACCUCCACUGAAUGUGGCAGCCCUCUCUCAUAUAUGGUCAUUUAAGAUACCAAUUUGGUUGAAAAUAGAGUCUGCAUUGGGCAUCUUUUUUUUUAUGGUACAAUUGAAAGGAGAAACAAUGUUUUUGUCUACAUAUUUUGGAUGUCUUAUUGCAUUAGUAGAAUGACUCAUGUUUGAAUCAGUCACAUAGACUAGAUUUUUUUCCCCCAAGAUUUAUAUUUUGUGUCAAUGCUUUAUAUUUCAAUUCAUUCUAAGUUCCUGAUAUUAUAAUUUCAAAUCUUAGGAAAACAGAUAAAAUGUGUGUGUAAACAUCAAAAAGUCCUUUAAGUGUAAGAUGACUUGAACAAGAGCUAGCUUUCUUAGAGACAUUAAUACUUAAGCUUUUGAUGUGGCAUAGAAGACUGAUUGAUACCUUCUCAUGGCCAGAAUUAAUAAAAUGUUGACGUAUUCCACUCAAUAGGGGGGUGAUCUUACCUAGAGCUGGGACCUUCAGACUGUAUACUACUUGUUACCUGUUUUAUAAAUAAAGCUU
rnacentral:lncRNA from 1 species